rnacentral:rRNA from 1 species
GAUGAACGCUGGCGGCGUGCCUAAUACAUGCAAGUAGAACGCUGAAGAAAGAGCUUGCUCUUUUGGAAGAGUUGCGAACGGGUGAGUAACGCGUAGGUAACCUGCCUGGUAGCGGGGGAUAACUAUUGGAAACGAUAGCUAAUACCGCAUAAUAGCUUUAAUUGCAUGAUUGAAGUUUGAAAGAUGCAACUGCAUCACUACCAGAUGGACCUGCGUUGUAUUAGCUAGUAGGUGAGGUAAAGGCUCACCUAGGCGACGAUACAUAGCCGACCUGAGAGGGUGAACGGCCACACUGGGACUGAGACACGGCCCAG